GUAUAUAGCUCAGUUGGUAGUGCUUGCCCCUCAUGCACAAGGUCCUGGGUUCAAUCCCCAGCACCACA
rnacentral:tRNA from 1 species